GUCUUUUUGAUUAUAAUAUAAAGUCUAAUCUGCCCAUUGAUUGUUUUUAAAGGCCGCAGUAUUUUGACUGUGCAAAGGUAGCAUAAUAAUUAGUUUUUUAAUUGAAAGCUGGAAUGAAUGAUUUAAUGAGAAAAAUACUGUCUCUUUUUUAAUUUUAGAAUUUUAUUUUUAAGUUAAAAAGCUUAAAUUUUAUAAAAAGACGAGAAGACCCUAUAGAGUUUAUAUAUAAUUAUAAAGUAAUUUUUUUUUAUUCUAUUUUUACUUUUAAUUAUAUUUUGUUGGGGUGACAGAAAAGUUUAUAAAACCUUUUUAUUAAAUAAAACAUUUUUAAUUGGAUUAUUGAUCCUAAAAAAGAUUAUUAGAUUAAAUUACCUUAGGGAUAACAGCGUAAUUUUUUUGGAGAGUUCAUAUCUAUAAAAAAGUUUGCGACCUCGAUGUUGGAUUAAGGUUUUAUUUAAGUGUAGAAGUUUAAAUUUUAAGUCUGUUCGACUUUUAAAAUCUUACAUGAUC
rnacentral:rRNA from 1 species